rnacentral:rRNA from 1 species
UACGGGGGGGGCAAGCGUUGUUCGGAAUUACUGGGCGUAAAGGGCUCGUAGGCGGCCAACUAAGUCCGACGUGAAAUCCCAAGGCUUAACCUUGGAACUGCGUCGGAUACUGGAUGGCUUGAAUUCGGGAGAGGGAUGCAGAAUUCCAGGUGUAGCGGUGAAAUGCGUAGAUAUCUGGAGGAAUACCGGUGGCGAAGGCGGCAUCCUGGACCGACAUUGACGCUGAGGAGCGCAAGCUAGGGGAGCAAACGGG